rnacentral:rRNA from 1 species
AGGGAUUGCCCUAGUAACGGCGAGUGAAGCGGCAACAGCUCAAAUUUGAAAUCUGGCCUCGGCCCGAGUUGUAAUUUGCAGAGGAAGCUUUAGGCGCGGCACCUUCUGAGUCCCCUGGAACGGGGCGCCAUAGAGGGUGAGAGCCCCGUAUAGUUGGAUGCCUAGCCUGUGUNNAGCUCCUUCGACGAGUCGAGUAGUUUGGGAAUGCUGCUCAAAAUGGGAGGUAAAUUUCUUCUAAAGCUAAAUACCGGCCAGAGACCGAUAGCGCACAAGUAGAGUGAUCGAAAGAUGAAAAGCACUUUGAAAAGAGGGUUAAAUAGCACGUGAAAUUGUUGAAAGGGAAGCGCUUGUGACCAGACUUGCGCCGGGCUGAUCAUCCGGUGUUCUCACCGGUGCACUCGGCCCGGCUCAGGCCAGCAUCGGUUCUCGCGGGGGGAUAAAGGCCCUGGGAACGUAGCUCCUCCGGGAGUGUUAUAGCCCAGGGCGUAAUGCCCUCGCGGGGACCGAGGUUCGCGCAUCUGCAAGGAUGCUGGCGUAAUGGUCAUCAGCGACCCGUCUUGAAACACGGACCAAGGAGUCAAGGUUUUGCGCGAGUGUUUGGGUGUAAAACCCGCACGCGUAAUGAAAGUGAACGUAGGUGAGAGCUUCGGCGCAUCAUCGACCGAUCCUGAUGUUUUCGGAUGGAUUUGAGUAGGAGCGUUAAGCCUUGGACCCGAAAGAUGGUGAACUAUGCUUGGAUAGGGUGAAGCCAGAGGAAACUCUGGUGGAGGCUCGCAGCGGUUCUGACGUGCAAAUCGAUCGUCAAAUC